rnacentral:ribozyme from 10 species
AUCACAAUCGUAUAGUAAGAAUUUCAUAAAGAAGUGUUGUUGCAUUGCUGGCAAGCCGGCGGACAACGAGGAUCUCGAUUCCAGUUGCGGCCUUUAUCACCUUCAUCACAACAUC